UAAUGCAACACUGUAGGAACUGAGACAAACGUGACUAUUGCAAAAAGGCAUGAACCUGAGGUUUUGUGCUAGUUGACCCCUGAGCUCCACCUCAUCUGUGUCUGAAGAGGCUUCACAUGCAUCAUAGUCUGGAUCUUGGUGGUUGUCAAACCACUUGAUCCAUGUGGUCUGGCCUGUGUGAUGACAAAGUGAAGGCUGACUGUAAACCCUGGAGUGUGUUCUAUUAGCUCUAGCUGACCCGGUCAGUGUUUGAAUAUUCAUCCUAAUGUUUCAUGUGCAUAUUUGACUUAACGUUCAUUAUUUCUUCAGGUUACAAAUGCUCUUGAGACGUUGUUGAACAGACGAGAUCAACUGAGGAAUGACCUGGAUUUCUCACACUGACCUCGCUGUGAAGCCCUUUGGCCCUGUGGAGAUGGCAAAGCUGUGUCUGCUUUAAAGUGGUGACCGGUGCCUGCAGACAACUGACUAUCAAGUUUUGUGAUGGUUCUUAUUUAACCUUGAGAGAGGGACAUUUUGUGCCAUAUUUCUUUUUCAUGCCAUUUUGGCUGUGUUCAAUAAAUAUAGCUCAAAUUUG